UUAUUGAGGCUCCAUCUGAAAACCCUGUCUUGAAUAGGGUAUUAUGGAUCUAGAGGCUGGUUAAAGGCCAGAACAAUGGAGAAAACAAUUUGUGCAUUAAUCACCACCUUCCUCUGACAUGAUGGCUCUCAUAGUGACAGAAGGUGUGAUCUGGAACUCCUGUUGUCCAGCUGUGGCACCUGCCACUCCUGCCCCAGGCUCAGGGUCACAUAGAGGGAGACAAGAAUGAGGGUGGAUUCUCCUUACUUCCCUCACUCUGCCAGCUGCCUUCCCUCUGCUCUGAAAUGCGGGUCCUGAGCUCAGACUUCAGGGCACUCUAAGCCGUGGCUGCAUGGUGGGGUCCCCAGUAAUGCUAGUCUUCUGGACACACUCACUCAGCUUGGGAGAAGUCUGCCACAUUCUGGCUCAGACAACUAGGACAGACAGCCUAGCCUCCUCAUGCCUAGGCUCUGGCAGGGCCACUGGAUGCAUCUCCCUAAAUUCACCAGGCUUAGGUGCCAGAUGGCAGGCCUUCUAUGUCUUCUUCAUUCUUUUCUCCCCAGUGCCAGGUGCAUAAAGGAGCUCAGUAAGUAUUUAUUGAAUGAACGAACUUUGCAUGAGUUGUUAUAAAAUCGCUGCCAGAAUCAGUGCUACUCCCAGACAGUAUUUCCUGACACUUGAUUGUUGUUAAAUGAGAAAGCAUCUCCUAUCUUCAUCCAUUUGUCCACCCACCCAACGGCGCACUUCUGAAGGAUUUGUGACAGCGGCAAAUACAAAGGUGGUUUUUCCCAGGACUAAGUGUGGCUCUGCCCUGAAGAGAAUGGAGCAAGCAUCUCUUCAGGAAUUAGGAACCCAGGACUCGACCCACUUCAGCCAGCCAAGCAGCCCCAGUCAAUCCUCUGGAACUCCAUGGCUCAGGAUUCCCAUUUGUAUAAAGAAGGUCUCCAGGAUCUUCGAGGACCAGGAUCAGCUCUUCCAAGUGCAAGGUGAAGGCCAGGCUGUUUGGUGACAGGUGUGCGAGGUGGCACGGGGUGAGCAGCAACGCUUCUGUCCCAGGAGCUGAGAUGAUUCAUGAACAACCGAGGAGAGAUUUGAAGAUGAAAAAUGUCCCACCGUCCUGGGGAUUAAUCAUCCUAUAACGCAUGCUCCCUCUCUGUGCGGCGACUUAAUUACCCGCCGUCGACAAAAUGUUUCUCCUGGAGAAACACUGCCCUUUGGAGCCCACGGUACAGAUUCUCGGCAAAGACUCAAAGCUCUCUCUGCAGCAGCAGAAAGGCUCGGAGUGUCUUUAUGGAACGAGAGAGAACAAAAGCAGCCUCUGCUGGAGAGACGCCUCGCAGCUCCCGAGGGGACCGGCCAGGGAGAGGCAGAAAUGGCUCUAAUUUUGUGAUUUAAAAAUUAAACUUGAUUCUGUUUCCUCCCAAGCCUACUGGAAGGGAGUCCUUGGCCCCAAGGGGCAGGGUGGGGCAGGGAGCAUGGCCUUUGCCUGGAAGCUGGCCUGUGAGGUCCCGGCUAGGACCUUCCAGGGAGUUCAGCCCACUGUCUAUUCUGUCUCCAGGCCCAGUCACCAGGGAGCCUUAGGGAUAGGGAACUUCCCUGCUAACCCUUCCUGAGGCCACAGCCCCUGGACACCUGGGCUUGCUUAUCUGGCGCCUUGUCCAGGACCAUGUGGGUCACGGUUCUUUGUAAAGGGCCACCGGCACUGACCUGCAGCCUCACUGUUCCCCGAAGCUGUGACGGGGUCCAGUGUGCCUGGGGCAGUCCUCAUUCUGCUCGUCUGCCAUUCUGGAGCACCUGUUAAGGCUUGUAGGGACACUUCCACGCCCAGAUAUCCUCCUGGCCAUCCCUGUUCUAGAAAAGAAGACGUUUGAACUAGUCUUACAGCUCACACAGGGUUUUUUGUGUAUUUCUGUUUUUUGCACCUGCUAAUUAAAGUAAUAAAUUCUCACUGCAUAAA
rnacentral:lncRNA from 13 species